UGUAGUUUGGCUUGAGUGAGGCCCCUGGUCUCUGCACAACUGAUGCUUCUUUCUGUCCAUUCAGAGUCUGUCAAGUCGGCUCUGGAUUCGUUUGAGUUCUGGAAAAUUCAUCAGCGUGACCCAGAGGAGGGCUCCGAACGUCCGCAGCUGGCCCUGCCCGCCCAGCGCGGCCCUGCCCUCCCUCCUGCAGCUGCUGUCCACGGCCAAGGAACUUUGCUCAGUUACUAGAGCUCGCGGUGGUCCGGGUCCACGGCCAGCCUCCUUCACACGACCUCAUGCCCAUUAUGCUGUCAGAUCGCUCCGGGCUCCCAUUCAGCCAUCAGAGGGCUGUGGAACAUCGGCCUGGGCUGGCUCCAGGGCCGGGCAGUGACACGGAGCGCGGGGCCUGCCUCUGAGGCGCUCAGUCUGCAGCUCACUGCUCUGCACCCCAAGAGGCUCCAUCUGAGAGGCUGGAAAAAAAGUGCCUGCUCCUCAGGGUCCAGCACAGGGCCCGGCGCUCAGGAGCCGGAGAGGGACCUCAAAAGGCUCGGGUCCGCCGGGCCGAAGCAGACCACCCGCGAGUGCAGCCCGCCAGCCUCGCGGGGCCCCCAGCGGGACCGGCCACCCACCCCACCCUCGAUUUUCCUGCCCCGUCCAGCGGAUGCAGGUCCGGCACGACGACUCGCGCGCAGACCGGAAUCACGUUUCUUUACCGCAGGUUCUCAGCCUCAUGCUCUUGACAUCUGGGGCCAGAUGAUGGUCCGUCGUGGGCCGUCCUGCGCAUCGCGGCUGUUGAGCGUUAUUCCUGGCUCCACCCACUAGAUGCCAGCCUCCCCCACUGGCGGCAAAACACCGCAUAUCCAGACACUGUCACGUGGCCCCCGGGGGGCCAAACUGCCUUCGGCUGAGAGCCACUGAUGUCCCUGGAUUGGGGACAAGUGCUCGGCUGGCCUUCCUGGCAGGUCACGUCCCUCCUCACACCGUGCACACAGACGCGUGGUCACGUACCCAGGACUUCUUCCAGGGAGCAUGACCGUUACUCCCGGUAGAUGCUCACGGGCCCACGGUCCUUAAAAGUUCAGUCCCAUGAUCUAGAAGCAUCAGGAACUUUUUCUGUUAAGGGUUGUGACACAGUAAAUAUUUUUGGCAUCGCGG